UACGGAGGGGGCUAGCGUUGUUCGGAAUUACUGGGCGUAAAGCGCACGUAGGCGGACUGGAAAGUCAGAUGUGAAAUCCCCGGGCUCAACCUGGGAACUGCCUUCAAAACUCCCAGUCUUGAGUUCGAGAGAGGUGAGUGGAAUUCCGAGUGUAGAGGUGAAAUUCGUAGAUAUUCGGAGGAACACCAGUGGCGAAGGCGGCUCACUGGCUCGAUACUGACGCUGAGGUGCGAAAGCGUGGGGAGCAAACAGG
rnacentral:rRNA from 1 species